CGUAGGGUGCGAGCGUUGUCCGGCUUUAUUGGGCGUAAGGAGCUCGUAGGCGGCUUGUCGCGUCGGAUGUGAAAGCCCGGGGCUUAACUCCGGGUCUGCAUUCGAUACGGGCAGGCUCGAGUGUGGUAGGGGAGAUCGGAAUUCCUGGUGGAGCGGUGAAAUGCGCAGAUAUCAGGAGGAACACCGGUGGCGAAGGCGGAUCUCUGGGCCAUUACUGACGCUGAGGAGCGAAAGCGUGGGGAGCGAACAGG
rnacentral:rRNA from 1 species